rnacentral:rRNA from 1 species
UACAGAGAGUGCAAGCGUUAAUCGGAAUUACUGGGCGUAAAGCGCACGUAGGUGGAUAUUUAAGUUGGAUGUGAAAUCCCUGGGCUUAACCUAGGAAUUGCAUUCAAUACUGGAUGUCUAGAGUAUAGUAGAGGGAAGUGGAAUUUCUGGUGUAGCGGUGAAAUGCGUAGAUAUCAGAAGGAACAUCAGUGGCGAAAGCGGCUUCCUGGACUAAUACUGACACUUAGGUGCGAAAGCGUGGGGAGCAAACAGG